GUUUGCAAGAAGCAUUUCUUCCGGUUCCUCUCUUACUAGAACGCUGAAGAAAAGGUUAAACAAAUUUGCAUGCCCAUUUGUUACAGAAGGAAUAUCUACAGCAGAAAGUGAUUUAUCUUCAUUGUCUUCUUCAGAAUCUGUAAAUUCUACAACAACAUCAACCCAUGAUGAUCUACAUCCAAUUGUUCAUCUGUAGAAGACAGCAAGCAUCUCAUAUGUACUCCAACAGUAUCAGCCUAUGACACAAAUAAUCGUCUGCAGACAACUCCAAAAGCAAAGAAAAGUGUUUCCAAAUUAAAAAAACGUCUAUAUGAAAAUCUUUUCUCCUUUUGUGACAGCUACAAGUAAAAUUGGCAGCUAAGCCAUAUUUGUUUGAAUUAAUUUGAUUGUACGUGCAUAUGCAAGGGUGGUCAAACAGAGGAAGGCGUUGGUCGACAACAGAAAAUACAUUUGCACUUCAUUUUUAUUUACACAGCCCAAUUGCAUAUCGGAUGCUACAAAAAUACUUUGCUUUUCCAAGCAAAACAACCUUACACAGGUAUUUGUUAAUAUUUUCCAAAUGUAUAUUAAUCGGUUUGUUUAAUACAGUAUUCUGAGUUUGAUCAUUCAUGGAAAAGGAUGAUUUUUCCGUAUUACUUUUAAUUUCUUCUUUGGUUAACUAUUGUGCAUUUUGCAUCAUUACCUCCCAAAAGUUUUUACAUCCUUUAAUGACCAUCCCAAAGUGAUCACAUUAAGCAGAGUCGACUGCAAUAAAAAUAUAUACUAAUAAUAUUUACUAAUUUUUUUAAUUAUUAUUUCAGGUGUACUUAUAAUGUUUCUAAAACUCCCAAGAUCUUGUCCAAAUUUGAUCAAGUGUUUAAAAAUGCAAUAAACUCGGAUGAGUGAUAAUUAUAUUUUCUUUCAUUUGAUGAAAUGUCGAUAAAACUAAGUUUAACAUAUGCUUCAGACUUAGAUUGCACUGAUGGGUUCCCUAUGUGCAGACAGGGAAACAACGAUAAACCACCAUAUGCAACUGACGCACUUGUAUUCAUGGCAUGAGGAAUUGUCAAAAAUUGGAAGCAGGAAUUCAGUGCCUGCAGAAAGUUGACGAAGAAGCACAUUGUAAUAUCCGGACUUAAGAAAAUGAAUGUGAAACUUGCAGCUCAGGUACUAAGUCAUACAGUUGCUGUUGCAUUCUGAAAAUUGAAAGUAAUGCAAUUGAUUCAACACAUUUCACAAAGAAAAUGGAUGUAUUGUUUGAUACUUUAAAUUCUAGGACUUUAAAACAUAUAAAAAAGGAACUAUGUGCAUGUCACAAAAGAUAACUGUCACAUAAAAAUUUGGAAAGUUAACUAAAUCCUGGAUUAAAACAUGGAAAAUACACUCAAGUAAAGGGAAAGAAAAAAUUUUCCAUGUAAAAAUGGAUGGAUUUUAACCAUAAAUGCAUCUCUGGGAAUUUCUGACGAUUUACUAAAAAAUUAUAAAUUCAUACUAAUUGAUUUAGCCAAGGCAUGACAGAAAAUACAUUUGCAUCCAUAAGGUGCAGAGGAGGAUUUAGGGAGAACCCAAAUACAUACAAAUAUAGGCUUACUAAUCUAAAAGUUACUAUAACAGACUUUUUCAAACUCUCAAGUGGAAAAAAUUGGAGUUAUUUGAAGUUAUUAAUUCUGAAAAAUGUUCAAAAGAAAGUGUACGAGAAGAUGUGAAUACCUUAAGCUUAAGAACCUUAAAUAGUGUUGAAGAAAAUUUAUUAUGUUAUAUUUCUGGUUAUUUUGUUAGAAAAUAUUUGUCAUCUGAUGAUUGUUUGACAUGAAAAAAGUUAUUAGUAGAUAAAGACAAAAUCUUAGACAAUUAAACUUUUUUUUUAUUUACAUUUGAAAGAAAAUGAUUAUGUUAAAUAUGUGUUAAACUGGCCAGUAAAUGAUGUAUUUCUAUAAUUUGUAAAAUUACAUGAAUGUUUUAUGACUAACUUCCACUUAUUUUAUUUCAAAAUUUACAAGUGUUUUGUACAAAAUAAAUAUGAACUUUUUUGAUUAUCAUGAAGAGCACAAAGAGAAAGUGCAAGUAUUUUUUUUAUUAUUAUUUCUUCUUUUGUUAGGAUGAUGAUAAAACAUAAAGUAAAAGUGAUGAUCAAUGAUUGGAAACCCAAUUUUAAUUAUAAAAACAAGAUGAAGUA